CCUUGCCAGCCCGCUCAGAACUUAAGGAAUUGACGGGGCCCGCACAAGCGGUGGAGCAUGUGGUUUAAUUCGAUGAUACGCGAGGAACCUUACCUGGGCUCAAAUGUAUGUUGACGUAUUCUGAAAGGGAUACUUCUUCGGACAAUAUACAAGGUGCUGCAUGGUUGUCGUCAGCUCGUGCCGUGAGGUGUCGGGUUAAGUCCCAUAACGAGCGCAACCCCUAUCAUUAGUUGCCAUCAGGUCAAGCUGGGGACUCUAAUGAAACUGCCUACGCAAGUAGUGAGGAAGGUGGGGAUGACGUCAAGUCCUCAUGGCCUUUAUGACCAGGGCUACACACGUACUACAAUGGCCGAUACAAAGGGCAGCGACACUGCGAGGUGAAGCCAAUCCCGUAAAAUCGGUCUCAGUCCGGAUUGGAGUCUGCAACUCGACUCCAUGAAGUUGGAAUCGCUAGUAAUCGUGGAUCAGCAUGCCACGGUGAAUACGUUCCCGGGCCUU
rnacentral:rRNA from 1 species